UAGAAAUUAUUAUGUUCAAUCAUUUCUCCUAUCAAUAAUGUAUGCCAGUAUUCAAGUUGAUUUUAUUUUUUGAUUGUCAUUUUUAUUUUAUACAAUUUAAAUAAGCAUUAAUUUAAAUUGCUGAGUGCACACACAUACAUAUGCAUAUAUGUGUGCACAAAUGUGUGUGUGUGUGUGUGUGUGUGCACAUGCUUGUGUGUGUGACUAUGGAGUGAUAUGGUGAUGGUAUUUAUAUACUGUUACUAGCACUGUGCAGUUUCUACAGCCAAGAUCCUUAACAUUCAAUUGGCCCAGGUCUCCAAGCUUUUGAUAGGUGCCACAAAACAAGAAUUUAUUGCUAUGAGUGUUAACUACAGGUGAAAAAUAAUGACUGUUUUGUGAGCAUGCAAUGUCCAGUUCAAAUCUUGCCCUGGACAUAGUUUGGUGAGUGAUCAAUUCCAUGCAGCUGACAUGCCCCUGAUAUAUGUAGUAUAUAAACAAAGUCUUCUGUGGGAUUUAUUGGACUUGGCAUGUGUGUGUGUGUGUGAGAGAGAGAGAGAGAGAGAGAGAAAGAAAGAAAAGUUUCAGGCUAUCUUCACAUUUAUACUUCCUCAACUGCAUUAUUAAUUAUAUUGUUAAUCAUUUUAAACUUGCAUAUAUGUAUAUAUGUAGCAUGUGCUGGGAUCCCAGUUAUACAUAAAUAUAUAUAGCUGGGAUCUCAACAGGUGCUGUUACUCUGAGUCAGAGCUGGCCUGAGAACAAUACUGGCCAAGAGGUGCAGUUUAUAGUCAUACCCAUUUGCCAGCAUGCAAGUAUGUUGUUUCAAUUCUAUGCCAUGGUAAUAUAUAUAUAAAGAUCACUAGCAGAUAACACAUUGUUUCAAAAAUGUCUGUAUGUAACUCAAACUCUGUAAAUAUUUUGAUUUUUGGCAAAUGCAUUUGGGAGAAAUAAGUUUAAAUUUGUUAAGAAUGAAUCAGAGAUUUUGGGAGAAGAGGGAAAUAGAAAAUUGGAAUGUUUUGUCCUUCUUAACUGUGAAUUGAAAUUUUGACUCUCUGAGAGAAAAACAAUAGUAGCAACUCUCUCUCUCUCUCUCUCUCUUUCUCCCCUCUCUCUCUUUAUCUCUUCCUCCCCUCUUGCUUUAUAUACAUAUAUAUGUAUGUGUAUAUAUAUAUAUAUGUAUGUAUGUAUGUAUGUGUAUAUAUAUGUGUAUGUUUUUCAAAUAUACACUUGUUUAGUGUUGGCAAACUUUUGAUAAAUAUUUAUAAGUUAAAUUCUGCCUGCUAGAAGUUUUAUUUCCCAGUUGUUGAUUUUAUGUUAAUACACAAAAAUAUUUUUGAGUAAUUGUUUGUACACAGAAUGAAAACGUCCAUGUCAAAUAGAGCUAACUUCAGAUCCAUGAAAUCUGCUGCUUCAAAAUAUUUUAUAAAUAUUUUAUUUUUCCUAAUUCUCUGAGCUGUACAAAUCUUGAAGAGAUCUGUACAGUCACAACCUUUUGAACUUCUUUAAACUGUUUUGCAUAGUGUUCGAAAUGUUUAUAAAUAGUUUCUUCAAAAACUUUCUUUGCCCUUGCAAAGCACUUAAAACUUUUAUUUUCUGAUUCACUGUGUAAUAUGUUGAGUUUACUCUCAAAACUCUUAAUCAAGCCAAACAGCACAUCAACAGAUUUCCUAAAACUUGGAAGUUUAAUUUUAAAUUCAUUCAAAUGCAGUAAAUAAAUCCAUGAAAAAACUAAGUUUACUGAGUCAAGCAAAAUAAUUUAACUUAGGAAAAUCAUGCUCCAUGUUUUUGUUUAAAUAACAAUAGUCUUAUUUCACUUAAACAUUCAACAAAUCAUUUAAGUAUUUGACUAUGCCUGAACUAUCAUGCACAUUAUUAAACUGAAUCAAUUUCAUUUAAAGGUAAAUUAUAUUGUUGUUUAUGUAAAAUCCUGGUCGCUGUCAAAUUGGCUAUUUUUGUCACACCUCAUCAAUCACAUUAUGAAAAUCUUUAAAGCUUACUUCCUGCACACAGUGCUUCCAGAGGUAUAAUACACUGAAAAUAAACAAGGAAAUGACCAACAAAUUUUGUAAAUUGCCCUACAAUACCAGUUUUCAGCUUACUGUAGUAGGGAUAUCAGUUGUAAACAAAACUAUUUGUUUUUCAUGAAACAUAUUAACAACUAUGAUGCAAACUAUUACUUAAUCAAGUCUUAAUGAAUAGGAGAAAAUAUUGUACAAUAUUAGCAAGUCAAGUUGAUAUCAAUGGUCUUAUCAGGUCUCAAGACAAAUAAAAAAUAACUGUAGGUAUUUAAUUAUUUUUGAACUUGAUUUUCUAUGUUAACACUUGUUUUCAUAAAUUUGUUUUUAACAUCAUUUCUAAAUCACAUACUUAUAAUGGUGUUCUUAUUAUUAUGAAAGCCAUUAGAUAAAAAUGGGGCAUUUUUAACAGAAGCCUCAUUAAAAAUUGCCACCAUCACUUAGUGAUUUUCCAUUAUCAACAAUAAUAUAUGAAAUAUUAAAACUUGCAGCUUGUAAAUGAUAAAUUCUUGUUGGGAACUUAAAUAAAUUCUGUUGUUUCCACUUUAGCUGUUGGGAUAUGUAUGCUUUGUGGUCUUCAAUAGUUUUUUUUUUCUUAGGAGUAACUGGCGCUGGUUGUAAAAGUGCUUUUUACAUUCCUAGUUCUAUUCACAGCAGCCUCAUCACACAAUAUACAAAGAAGUUUAUCAAUCUUAUCUAGCUCAUAAUUUGUUCUGCCCACUAAUCUGGAAAUUUCGUCCACUUCACUUUUGUGAUAAUUUAAUUUUUUUAGUAUUUAUUUUAUUAAUUGUUCAUUUAGAAAAUAAGAAUGAAAGAAUUGAAGGAAAAGAAGAGCUAAAGUCAUACACUUGUUAUAUUGUGUUAGCAGCCUACGAUGGGUUGCAACUUUUCAAUUUAUGGGUUGUAAUUUAAGUAUAGUGUUAUUAGAUAUCUACCCACAUCCCAUCUAAUGUGAAUUUUUUUUAAGGACUGCUAUUUUAAACUUUUAAAACUCUAUGUAUAAUUUAGUGAACUUUUUAUAACAUAUAUUAUUAGGGAAACUGGUUCUCUAAAAACUUGCUGCAUGUCUCUGCUGAUAUGCAUGUCAUAGGUUCACUGUCUUUAUCUAGUUCUAUAAUAAUAUUUAUAUAAACAUUUGUUAAAUUCUACCUAUUAAAAAAGGUUGUUUUUUUUCAUAAUUGUUUAUGUUAGCAUAGAUAGUAAGAUUUUAGUUAUUCAUCUUUUUUAAUUUAUUGAUUGGUUGAUUUUGGCUGCAGUAAUUGUUUUUAUAUAGAAAGCAGAUCUCCAAUUCCAUGGGAUAACAGACAACCUGCCUCGUGAUAGGUGGUUUAUGCUUUGUAACCUGCACAGUAUUGUACAGGUUACAAAACCUGUACAAUUUCUCUGUAAACUCGUACCCAAGAGAUAGCAACAACUUGCUGCAGUAAUUAGCAACAGUAAUAGCCAGGAAUUUGUUAGUUUGCAAUGCAGAGUUCUAGACUUGCUUAUAUAGUAAAUAAAAUCUUAAUUCUGAAUAAACUAGUAAUAAUUUGUGUUGGUGGCAAUUAUUUUGGUUGGAUAAAUAAGUAUUGUGAGUGGAGACUAUGACAAAAAUACAUAUUUAAGUUGUACUUCUUCCUGAAUAUAAUUUUAUGUGGCUAGUAUAUCAUAAGACUACUGUAAAAAUUAAUUAGCAAAUAGAAAUUAUUUUAAUUUGAUUUUGCAACUUCCAGUCUUCCAAAAAAUACAUAUAAUUAUUUUUCAGUAACUAUUUUCAUUAACGUCAGCUGUUGGGGAAUCAUAAACAGUU